UUGGAGAGAAAUACGUUUGAGUCAAACGUAACUGCAAAUUGCAUUUUUGGUCUGGGGGAACGUAAUUUUUGUGAUACAGGGUUGGGCAUUUUACAGCAAAGUAAUCCGUGUUUAGUCUUUAAAACAUUAGCGUUACGUGUCUGUGUGUGUGUGUCUGUCAUUCUGUGUGUGUGUGUGUGUGUGUGUGUGAGUGUGUGUCUGUCUGUGUGUGUGCGUGUGUAAGAGUGUGCGUAUGAGAGUGUGUGUCUGUGUGAGUAUGUGUGUAUCUCUGCAUGUGUGUGUGUGUGUACGUAUGUGAGUGUCUAUGUGUUUCUGUCAGUGUGUGUGUGUGUGUGUGUGUGUGUGUGUGAGACGAUGUAUUAGUUUGCAUGCAUAUCAGUGGAAGUUGAAGGGUAAAUCAUGUUUUAUUAACAAUUUCAAAAUUAUUAUUGAUGAGAAGUAACCAUACCUGUAAAUAACCCCAUGAAGGGUUUAUUGUUUUGAGUUGUUUGACUGUUUAGCAUUUUCCUUAUUGGUUUUGAUGUAUGCCUUUUAUACUACUUCCGCUUAACAGACAAAUCAGACUUUUAUUUUGAAAGGUUAAAAGGAAGCGCACUUAUUUUUUAGGUUAAAAUGCGAACUUUAUAGUUUAGAUUACGGACAGAUGCGCAUUUUAUAACAAGUUUAAUACUUGAUUUGACCCGUAUGGGACUAACUCUGUUAAGGUGGUGAUAGUGUACGAGUUUUAAUUAAUGUAUUGUCACCUAUAAAAAGAAAAUAAAGGACUCACCAGCAGAAAGGCUUCACGCCAAUUCAUAUGAUCCGUUACAAUGCUUUUUGCUGUCAGAAUACGCAGGCGAAACAACAUAUAACAUAAGAAUAAAUAAGACUAGAGGUCAAUAUACUAGUAACUUCAAUAAAUACAUGACAAAAUGAUCUUGCUGUCAUUCCGAUAUUUAUGUUAGUACUAUACUGCCAUCUAGUGGUAGAAAGGUGAACCCUUUUUAAGGCCUCUUACUUUGCAAUCGUUCAAUAUCUAGAUUAAUGGGCUCAUUGAUGUAGAACACGAAUGGUGUCAUCUUACACUUGAUACCUGUGUGUGAGUGUGUGUCUGUGUGUGUCUGUCUGUGUGUGUGUGCGUGUGUAAGUGUGUGUCUCUGCCCGUGUGUGUGUGUACGUAUGUGAGUGUCUAUGUGUGUGUGUGUGUGUGUGUGUGUGUGCAGCAGGUGUCUCUGACCGCGGGUACAGUCUGCAGAGUUGUGCUCCAGCCUCCUCGUCAAAUCCCAGCGCUGCGAAACUUCAUAUAUAUAUAUAUAUAUAUAAUAUGACAAAAUAUUCAUAAUAAUUAUUCAAAAUCUUUUUUCUCCAAAGUAAGAGGUUUAGUCCACUCACGUGGAGCCCAUUUAUGUAUUUGUUGAAUGAUUUCACUCUACACUUGAUAACAUUUACGCUAAUUAUUAUGAAUAUUUUGAUAUCAUUUAUGGAAACAAUCUUCAAUAGCGUUAAUGUUAUCAAGUGUCGGAUGAAAUCAUUCAAUAUCUACAUCAAUGGGCUCUACACUACACCUCUUACGUUGGACAAUUGAUAUAGGCAAUGAAUGGUUUCAUCUUGCACUUGAUAACAUUGACGCUAAUUAUUAUGAAUAUUUUGAUAUCAUUUCUGGAAACAAUCUUCAAUAUGUUGAAUGUUCACUCAAAACUCUAAAACCAUUUCUGUUCUCAUUGUUUUGCUCCAUCAACGACGAGCCGGCUAGCCGGCGGGAAUGCCGCACCUUGAACGAAAGCCUCGCGGAUGCCGCGUCUCGAGAAGGAGCCGGGGGUCUGGAGCGAAAGGCACUCUGCCAAUGAAGCCAGCAGCCGGCUGCAGCAGGUGUCUGUCCCGUGUGCUUUGCUCCGUUAACGACGUGACGGCGAGCGCCAGGGAGCCGGCGGGAAUGCCGCACCGUGAACGAAAGCGUCGCGGAUGCCGCGUCUCGAGAAGGAGCCGGGGGUCUGGAGCGAAAGGCGCUCUGCCACUGAAGCCAGCAGCCGGCUGCAGCAGGUGUCUGUCCCGUGUGCUUUUCUCCGUUAACGACGUGACUGACGGCGAGCGCCAUGGGAGCCGGCGGGAAUGCCCCACCGUGAACGAAAGCGUCGCGGAUGCCGCGUCUCGAGAAGGAGCCGGGGGUCUGGAGCGAAAGGCGCUCUGCCACUGAAGCCAGCAGCCGGCUGCAGCAGGUGUCUGUCCCGCGUGCUUUGCUCCGUUAACGACGUGACUGACGGCG